rnacentral:rRNA from 1 species
CGAGUCCGAGUCUCCACGGAGACGAAGUGGCGGUCAUCCAGCUUCCUAGAAAAGCUCUAACCACGUUAAUCUUUAGUUGCCUGUACCCGAAACCGACACAGGUAGGGGGGUAGAGAAUACCAAGGGGCGCGAGAUAACUCUCUCUAAGGAACUCGGCAAAAUGACCCCGUAACUUCGGGAGAAGGGGUACCACUGAGAAGUGGUCGCAGUGAAGAGGCCCAGGCGACUGUUUACCAAAAACACAGGUCUCCGCCAAGUCGCAAGACGAAGUAUGGGGGCUGACGCCUGCCCAGUGCCGGAAGGUUAAGGAAGUGGGUUAGGGAUUCGUCCCGAAGCUGACGACUGAAGCCCCGGUGAACGGCGGCCGUAACUAUAACGGUCCUAAGGUAGCGAAAUUCCUUGUCGGGUAAGUUCCGACCCGCACGAAAGGCGUAACGAUCUGGGCGCUGUCUCGGAGAGAGGCUCGGCGAAAUAGGAUUGUCUGUGAAGAUACGGACUACCUGCACCUGGACAGAAAGACCCUAUGAAGCUUUACUGUAGCUUGGAAUUGGGUUCGGGCUUGGUUUGCGCAGGAUAGGUGGGAGGCGAAGAAGAUUUGCUUGUGGGUGAAUCUGAGCCAACGGUGAGAUACCACUCUAACCAGGCUAGAAUUCUAACUUCAACCCGUCAACCGGGGGAAGGACAGUUUCAGGUGGGCAGUUUGACUGGGGCGGUCGCCUCCUAAAAGAUAACGGAGGCGCACAAAGGUUCCCUCAGGCUGGUUGGAAAUCAGCCAACGAGUGCAAAGGCAGAAGGGAGCUUGACUGCGAGACCUACAAGUCAAGCAGGGUGGAAACAUGGUCUUAGUGAUCCGACGGCACCGAGUGGAAGGGCCGUCACUCAACGGAUAAAGUUACUCUAAGGAUAACAGGCUGAUCUCCCCCAAGAGUUCACAUCGACGGGGAGGUUUGGCACCUCGAUGUCGGCUCAUCGCAACCUGGGGCGGAAGUACGUCCCAAGGGUUGGGCUGUUCGCCCAUUAAAGCGGUACGUGAGCUGGGUUCAGAACGUCGUGAGACAGUUCGGUCCAUAUCCGGUGUAGGCGCAAGAACAUUGAGAGGAGUCUUCCUUAGUACGAGAGGACCGGGAAGAACGCACCGCUGGUGUACCUGUUAUCGUGCCAACGGUAAACGCAGGGUAGCCAAGUGCGGAGUGGAUAACCGCUGAAAGCAUCUAAGUGGGAAGCCCACCUCAAGAUGAGUGUUCUCAUGGAGUAAUCCAGUAAGGUCACGGGAAGACGACCCGUUGAUAGGCGGUAGGUCGAAGUUCAGCAAUGGAUGAAGCCGAGCCGUACUAACAGACCGAGGGCUU